rnacentral:lncRNA from 1 species
AGGCACAUGAUUCAUAUCUGUAUAUGAUGCAUAGUCCAGAAAGGCUGGGACUUAGCUCUGUGGCUCUUGCCCCAGGUGAGACAUAAAAGCUUUCUUGUCCCUUUCCCUCCUGUUUGGGGUCCCAUAAGAACUGAAGGGUACAGUUCUCAGACAGCAGUUGGGUCUGAGCAUAAAAGCCCAUUAAUAAGGAGCAGGUGACACUGCCACAGCUGGGUAAUUUGUCUCUUUGCUCGUCUGCAGCCCAUUUGGUGAUGAUCUAUUUGUCUGAGGGAAUGGAUGAUGGCAGGUUUGUCAAUAUUUUACACUUAUGAACCUGCCUGUUCUUCUCUGCCUGGCUCUGCCCAACUGUCUUUGUCCCUGGCUCCUCUCAUUUCGUUUUGCAGAUUGGAUAACGGACUUCGGCAAAGAGUUAUGAAGGUGGAUUCCAUGAGGGCAGCUUUGGGAAGGGAAGAGGGCAGGAGAGGAGGGGUCGGCUCUCUGCAGGGAGAGGAGGGGUGGGUGGGAGACAUGUUCAGGAGAAAAAGAUGUCACAGACAUAGUGGUGGGCAGAAAGGAACUUCAGAGAGAGAGAGAUCCUAGGACAGAGGACAGUGGGGACUCUGGGGAGGCCUUGUAGAAGACAGCUUGAAGAACUGAGUCCAACCCUAAUAAUUAAGUUGGGCCUAGUACAAAAGCUAAUUGUGCUAGCCAGCCUCCAGGAUGUCCCACGUGACUCUCGCAUGUUGAUAUUUACACCUAUUGGUUAGACAUGCAGCCCUGCUCACGUAUUGAUAUUUAUAUUCUGAGCAUGGAUGGCGCAUGCCUGCAGUCCUAGUGACUCAGGAGGCUGAGUCAGGGGGACUGCUUGAGCCCAGGAGUUGGAGACUUCAGUGAGCUAUGAUUGUGCCACUGCACUCCAGCCUGGGCAACAGAACAAGACCCUGACUCCUGCAGAGGAGGGCUCCAUGUCCAACCAAUGGGAUGUACAAAAACGACAGUGUGACUUCCAAGGUCAGAUCACAAAAGUCCUUGAAGGUUUCACCUUACUGGAUCACUUGCUCUGGGGGAAGCCAGCCGCCAUGUGGUGAAGACACUCAAGCAGCCCUCUGGAGAAGCCCAUGUAGCAAGGAACUGAGGUCUCCUGCCAACUACCAGCGCUAACUUGCCAGCCUUGUGAGACCCCCAGAGAAGGAACCGCCCCAGCUAACCACCCACUCCAGAAUUCCUGACCCUCAGGAACUGUGUGAGAUCAUAAAUGCUGAUUGUUUCAAGCUGCUAAGAUUUGGGGUAAUUUAUUCCAUAGUAAUUGGAAAUUGUCUAAAUCUCUAUUUGUGGAAUUUUUCUUUUUUUCUUUUUUUUUUUUUUAAAGACAAGAUCUCCCUCUGUUGCCCAGGCUGGAGUGGCAUGGCAUGAUCAUGGCUCACUGAAGCCUUGACUUCUUGGGCUUAGGCAAUACUCUGGCCUCAGCCUCCCGAGUAGCUGGGACUACAGGCACACACCACCAGCUAAUAUUUUAAAAUUAUUUUUAUAGAGAUGGGGUCUUCCUAUGUUACCCAGGCUGGUCUUAAACUCUGGCCUCAAGUGAUCCUCCUGCCUCAGCUUCCCAAAGUGCUGGGAUUAUAGGUGUGAGCUACUGUGCUCAGCCACAUUUUUACUGGUGGAAUUUUUUUUUUUUUUUUUUUUUUGGAGACAGGGUCUGACUCUGUCACCCAGGCUGGAGUGCAGUGAUAUGAUAUUGGCUUACUGCAACCUCCGCCUCCUGGAUUCAAGCCAUCCUCCCACCUCAGCCUCCUGAAUUGCUGGGACUACAGGUGUGCACCACCACACCCAGUUAAUGUUUGCAUUUUUUGUAGAGAUGGGGUUUUGUCAUGUUGCCCAGGUUGGUCUCGAACUCCUGAGCUCAAAGCUAUCUGCCCACCUCGGCCUCCCAAAGUGGGAUUACAGGCAUGAGCUAUCCCACCCGGCCUAUUGAUGGAAUUUUAUCCUAACUGGUUUGCUGACCAGAAUACAGCAACUGGUUUGCUACACAGAAUGAAUGGUCUGUGGGUAAGGACAGUUCACAUCAGGUGCCCAGUUAACCAGCAUUGUAUGUCACUGAGUGCCACAAAGAGAGCCCAGUUCCACCCUCACUCUUUUUUUUUCUUUUUCUUUUUUUUUUUUUUUUGAGAUGGAGUUUUGCUCUUGUUGCCCAGGCCGGAGUGCAAUAGCGCACUCUGGGCUCACCACAACCUCCGCCUCCCAGGUUCAAGCGAUUCUCCUGCCUCAGCUUCUCGAGUAGCUGGGAUUACAGGCACGUGCCACCAUGCCCAGCUAAUUUUGUAGUUUUAGUAGAGACGGGGUUUCUCCACAUUGGUCAGGCUAGUCUCGAACUCCUGACCUCAGGUGAUCUGCCCACCUUGGCCUCCCAAAGUGCUGGAAUUACAGGCGUGAGCCACCGUGCCCGGCAUACCCCUUUUCUUUUAGAGUGAACGUCUUGUUCUGUUGUUCAGGCUGGAGUGCAGUGGCAUGACCAUAGCUCACUGCAGCCUCCAACUCCUGGGCUCAAGCAGUGCUCCCACCUCAGCCUCCUGAAUAGCUGGGACUACAGGCACACAUUACCAUACCCAGUUCAUUUUUAAAAAUUUUUAGUAGAGACAAGGGUCUCACUAUGUUGCCCAGGUUGGUCUUGAAAUCCUGGCCUCAAGUAAUCCUCCUGCCUGGGCCUCCCAGUGUGCUGCGAUUACAUGUGUGAGCCACUGAGCUUGGACCCCAUCCCUGCUCUCUUUCUUCCUUUCCUUUUCCUUUUCCUUUCCUUUCUGUCUUUCUUUCUUUUGUUUUUUUGUUUUGUUUUGUUU